GCCUCCCUUGAAGAGCCCACGCCCCCUCUUUCUCUUCUCCCUUAGAGAUCUAAUGCCCAAGCUUGGGCGUCCUCCAUUUUCAAUGCCCAAAGGUGUUUGGGCAUCUCCUAUUGCUUGCUGGUUUCUAGUCACUGGUUGCUGCAUAAUCUAAGGAAGAAAAGCAAGAGAAGAAAAGAAGAAGAAGAUCAAGAAAAGGAUCAAAGAGUUGAUCGUGAUCUAGGCUUCAUUCAGAUUCGCAGACUGAUUUUUUCUUAGAGAAGAAAAAAUCAAUAUCAAAAAGGGCUAUUCCAAGCUGAUCCUGAGUGGAUACCUGUAG
rnacentral:lncRNA from 1 species